UAAAAUGUGCUUGUGAUGACAGCUUCUUGU
rnacentral:piRNA from 1 species